rnacentral:rRNA from 1 species
AACGAACGCUGGCGGCAGGCUUAACACAUGCAAGUCGAGCGCCCCGCAAGGGGAGCGGCAGACGGGUGAGUAACGCGUGGGAACCUACCCAUCUCUACGGAAUAACGCAUGGAAACGUGUGCUAAUACCGUAUACGUCCUUCGGGAGAAAGAUUUAUCGGAGAUGGAUGAGCCCGCGUUGGAUUAGCUAGUUGGUGGGGUAAAGGCCUACCAAGGCGACGAUCCAUAGCUGGUCUGAGAGGAUGAUCAGCCACACGGGGACUGAGACACGGCCCAGACUCCUACGGGAGGCAGCAGUGGGGAACAUUGGACAAUGGGCGCAAGCCUGAUCCAGCCAUGCCGCGUGAGUGAUGAAGGCCCUAGGGUUGUAAAGCUCUUUCACCGGUGAAGAUAAUGACGGUAACCGGAGAAGAAGCCCCGGCUAACUUCGUGCCAGCAGCCGCCGCAGUAA